rfam:Ipomoea nil DNA, scaffold: scaffold3210, cultivar: Tokyo-kokei standard.
GACUGUUUGGCCGAGUGGUAUCAGGUGCCAGAUUUAGGCUCUGGUCCAAAAUGGCGUGGGUUCAAAUCCCACAACUGUCA